UAAUCUGCGAUAAGCGCCGGUAAGGUGAUAUGAACCGUUAUAACCGGCGAUACCCGAAUGGGGAAACCCAGUGUGACUCGUCACACUAUCAUUAACUGAAUCCAUAGGUUAAUGAGGCGAACCGGGGGAACUGAAACAUCUAAGUACCCCGAGGAAAAGAAAUCAACCGAGAUUCCCUCAGUAGCGGCGAGCGAACGGGGAGGAGCCCAGAGCCUGAAUCAGCAUGUGUGUUAGUGGAAGCGUCUGGAAAGGCGCGCGAUACAGGGUGACAGCCCCGUACACAAAAGCGCAUAUGCUGUGAGCUCGAUGAGUAGGGCGGGACACGUGGUAUCCUGUCUGAAUAUGGGGGGACCAUCCUCCAAGGCUAAAUACUCCUGACUGACCGAUAGUGAACCAGUACCGUGAGGGAAAGGCGAAAAGAACCCCGGUGAGGGGAGUGAAAAAGAACCUGAAACCGUGUACGUACAAGCAGUGGGAGCACCCUUUGGGGUGUGACUGCGUACCUUUUGUAUAAUGGGUCAGCGACUUAUAUUCUGUAGCAAGGUUAACCG
rnacentral:rRNA from 1 species